UACGAAGGGGGCUAGCGUUGCUCGGCAUCACUGGGCGUAAAGGGUGCGUAGGCGGGUCUUUAAGUCCGGGGUGAAAUCCUGGAGCUCAACUCCAGAACUGCCUUUGAUACUGGUGAUCUUGAGUCCGGGAGAGGUGAGUGGAACUGCGAGUGUAGAGGUGAAAUUCGUAGAUAUUCGCAAGAACACCAGUGGCGAAGGCGGCUCACUGGCCCGGUACUGACGCUGAGGUGCGAAAGCGUGGGGAGCAAACAGG
rnacentral:rRNA from 1 species